GUCCUUUUGAAUUUAAUUGAAGGUCUGACCUGCCCAGUGAUUAAUUUAACGGCCGCGGUAUACUGACCGUGCAAAGGUAGCAUAAUCAUUAGUCUUUUAAUAGAGGGCUGGAAUGAAAGGUUUGACGAGGAAUUGACUGUCUCAUUUUAUUUGUUUUAGAAUUUAAUUUUUUAGUUAAAAAGCUAAAAUUUAAUUGGAAGACGAGAAGACCCUAUAGAUCUUUAUAUAGUUUUAUUUAAUUAUUUAAAUAUUAAUAUGUUUAAAUUAUGAUUAUAUUUUGUUGGGGUGACAAAAAUAUAUAAUUAACUUUUUUAUUUAUUUACCAUUGAUAAAUGAAUAUUAGAUCCAUUCGUAAUGAUUGUUAGAAUAAGUUACCUUAGGGAUAACAGCGUAAUCCUCCUCCAGAGUUCAUAUUUACAGGAUGGGCUUGCGACCUCGAUGUUGGAUUAAGAUAAUAAUUAGGUGUAGCCGCUUAAUUUAUAGGUCUGUUCGACCUUUAAAUUCUU
rnacentral:rRNA from 1 species